GACGAACGCUGGCGGCGUGCCUAAUACAUGCAAGUCGAACGCAGUGGGGACGGGUGAGUAACACGUGGGUAACCUCCCAUCAGAGGGGAUAACACUUGGAAACAGGUGCUAAACCGCUAAGGAUGGAUGGACUCGCGGUGCAUUAGCUAGUGGGUGAGGUAACGGCUCACCAAGGCCACGAUGCAUAGCCGACAUGAUAGGGUGAACGGCCACACUGGAACUGAGACACGGCCCAGACUCCAACGGGAGGCAGCAGUAGGGAAUCUGCGGCAAUGGGCGAAAGUCUGACCGAGCAACGCCGCGUGAGUGAAGAAGGUUUUCGGAUCAUAAAACUCUGUUGUUAGAGAAGCGGUAUCUUUCCAAAGAGCAACGGCUAACUACGUGCCAGCAGCCGCGGGAAUAC
rnacentral:rRNA from 1 species